rnacentral:rRNA from 1 species
UACGGAGGGUGCGAGCGUUGUCCGGAAUCACUGGGCGUAAAGGGCGCGUAGGCGGCGCGGCAAGUCUGUGGUGAAAGCCCGAGCUCAACUUCGGGUCGGCCAUGGAUACUGCUGCGCUCGAGCACUGUAGAGGCAGGUGGAAUUCCGGGUGUAGCGGUGGAAUGCGUAGAGAUCCGGAAGAACACCGGUGGCGAAGGCGGCCUGCUGGGCAGUAGCUGACGCUGAGGCGCGACAGCGUGGGGAGCAAACGGG